rnacentral:rRNA from 1 species
AUUGAACGCUGGCGGCAGGCUUAACACAUGCAAGUCGAGCGGGGUGAUGGUGCUUGCACUAUCACUUAGCGGCGGACGGGUGAGUAAUGCUUAGGAAUCUGCCUAUUAGUGGGGGACAACAUCUCGAAAGGGAUGCUAAUACUGCAUACGUCCUACGGGAGAAAUCAGGGGAGCACUUGUGACCUUGCGCUAAUAGAUGAGCCUAUGUAGGAUUAGCUAGUUGGUGGGGUAAAGGCCUACCAAGGCGACGAUCUGUAGCUGGUCUGAGAGGAUGAUCCGCCACACUGGGACUGAGACACGGCCCAGACUCCUACGGGAGGCAGCAGUGGGGAAUAUUGGACAAUGGGGGGAACCCUGAUCCAGCCAUGCCGCGGGUGUGAAGAAGGCCUUAUGGUUGUAAAGCACUUUAAGCGAGGAGGAGGCUCUUUCGGUUAAUACCCAAGAUGAGUGGACGUUACUCGCAGAAUAAGCACCGGCUAACUCUGUGCCAGCCGCCGCGGUAA